rfam:Corynebacterium glutamicum ATCC 13032 DNA, complete genome.
CAGUGUUGACCUGGUCUGUGCCCAAGAAGUGCACGUGCGUGUCGAUGCCACCUGCGGUAAGGAUUUUGCCUUCACCAGCAAUGAUGUCGGUGGCAACGCCGAUGACGAUGUCGACGUUUUCCAUGACAUUCGGGUUUCCGGCCUUUCCGAUUCGGAAGAUUUUGCCAUCUCGAAGCGCAACGUCAGCUUUGUACACACCCGUAUAGUCAAGGACGAUGACGUUGGUGAUGACGGUAUCGGGAAUAUCUACAUCGCGAACCAAGGUGCCAUUUUGGCCCAUGCCAUCACGAAUG